rnacentral:rRNA from 1 species
UACGAAGGGGGCUAGCGUUGCUCGGAAUCACUGGGCGUAAAGCGCACGUAGGCGGCUUCUCAAGUCAGGGGUGAAAUCCUGGAGCUCAACUCCAGAACUGCCUUUGAUACUGAGGGGCUCGAGUCCGGGAGAGGUGAGUGGAACUGCGAGUGUAGAGGUGAAAUUCGUAGAUAUUCGCAAGAACACCAGUGGCGAAGGCGGCUCACUGGCCCGGUACUGACGCUGAGGUGCGAAAGCAUGGGGAGCGAACAGG